GAUGAACGCUGGCGGCGUGCCUAAUACAUGCAAGUCGAGCGAAUGGAUUGAGAGCUUGCUCUUAUGAAGUUAGCGGCGGACGGGUGAGUAACACGUGGGUAACCUGCCCAUAAGACUGGGAUAACUCCGGGAAACCGGGGCUAAUACCGGAUAACAUUUUGAACCGCAUGGUUCGAAAUUGAAAGGCGGCUUCGGCUGUCACUUAUGGAUGGACCCGCGUCGCAUUAGCUAGUUGGUGAGGUAACGGCUCACCAAGGCAACGAUACGUAGCCGACCUGAGAGGGUGAUCGGCCACACUGGGACUGAGACACGGCCCAGACUCCUACGGGAGGCAGCAGUAGGGAAUCUUCCGCAAUGGACGAAAGUCUGACGGAGCAACGCCGCGUGAGUGAUGAAGGCUUUCGGGUCGUAAAACUCUGUUGUUAGGGAAGAACAAGUGCUAGUUGAAUAAGCUGGCACCUUGACGGUACCUAACCAGAAAGCCACAGCUAACUACGUGCCAGCCGCCGCAGUAA
rnacentral:rRNA from 1 species